rnacentral:lncRNA from 1 species
GGAAUCACAUACCCUUCAAAAACCAAGACAAUUGCUACAACCAAGACAACAAGAACAACACCAAUUAAAGGAUUACCUUCUAAGUUAACCACGACAAUAACCAAAGUUAGGACAAUAGCUAGUAGACACUCAAAUUCCAUCACAAAUAAUGAAAGAAGCACCGGUAAUACCAAACAUGCGUUGAUAACGAUUGAAGUCACUACAAGCAUGUCUUCAUCCUCAACAAGACCUGCGCGAUUUAGUAUAUAUGUAAGUAUGAUAAAAGAAAAUGUUUUAUUUUAAUUUCUGAGAAUUGCUUUUCUUUAACACACGCACGUAUCUGAGUCGAAAUUGUUUCAGUAGAAUUUUUAAUAACAUUAUAUAAAACAAAUUGAAAGCUGGCACAUCCAACUGAAACUCCCAACUAAAAUGAUAUGAUAAACUUUUUUUUCACGGGUAAACCAUUCAUAUGAAUACAUAAAUUCAGAAAUAAUUGCGUGGUUUUGAUAAAGUCGAAAAAUAUCACUUGGUAAGUGAUAUUUUAAAUAAUAAAAAAUCAAUUCUGAUAUCUUAUAUCUGUAUGUUGAUUGUUUUCUUCUGAAAUCGCAAUACUUAAUCUCGAACUUUAAUUUUUUAUCUGUAUACAUGUUAUACAAUCAUAGUGGGAUACAAUCCCUAGAACCAAAGUUGACAUAUCUUAUUUAAGUAGUUCGUCUUGACCUUUAAACUUUUGACCAUACAUCAAUCGGUUUCUUUCUCUGUCCUAUUUUAUCCAAAUGUAUAUGUUUCUGUAAUUUCUAAUCGAGCAGGGGAACUCGAGCUACUGUCAAGAAACUUUUUCAAAUUGAAAUCUGUUUUAAGUUACAGUGCCAUUAACCUUUAACAUAGACUCUUAAAUGAACAGGCUUUCGUCUUCUCUAUAUUAACCAUCUGAAUUGGCUUCAUUUCAAAACUCAUACACUUCUGGAUUUAAGAAUUUGAUACCGUGGCACUUUUUGGUUAUAAUGACAAGGUUAAUAAUAAAGUACGUUGUUUCUAAUUUUCGGCUGGGUGUAGUUGACGAAUAUUUUAACUUUACUCCUCGACGUAAACGCAGCCAUGGUCAACAUAAUUAUACCCCAUAUACCUUCAAUAUGUUUCAAUUAAUGACCUUCUGCCCUUUGUACAGCAGUCAUCCUACUCUGACUUUAUACAACGUCACCAGUGUCCGAGAGGAAAGUUGAUUAACAAUGAUAUGACAAAUACCGUCUCUUACUUUUGCUUAAAAAACUUAAACCUUGUUGAUAAAUACUCCGUAUCAAUUACACCAAUAAUACAUGUAUAUCCUAGGUACGAACUUUCUUUAUCACCUUCAUAGGGCUAGAGUUUAAAUAGUGUUGUUUUUAUUCGUUUAUUUUUAACCUUUACUGUUUUUCGGUAAUAUCCUUUAUUCCCAAACUACUUUAGAAAUAGGAAAUAACGAAAAUACCAAUGAAAAUUCAUAUAGUAAAGUCCCCAAUCAAAUGUUAAAAUGAAAAGCUCAAAUAUAUCAAACGAAUGGAAAACAAGUGUCAUUUUCCAGACUUGAUACAGGCAUUUACUUGUGUAUUAAAUGGUGGAUUAAAUAAUGGUUUUGAAGCAAGUUAAAACAGUUUAUCAUGUUUUUCAUACACUUGGUAAUAAUACACUUAAGUUAAAUUCAAACAAAUUACUACACUGAGACAUACUUAAUGUGAUUGGUAAACAACUUUUAAGUCAAAUACUAUAAAUGUUUAAACAAUAACGUAACGUUAUUUUGUAUUUGGUCUCUAAGUAAUUUAAAACAUCACUUCUCAAAAAAACUGUGGAGAAUGUACAAAAAUCUUUUAUGUUCAAAUUAACUGAAUCUGUCGUUAGACUUGAUUGUUCAACAUAUUUUUCAUUUGUGUUUAAGGCACCAGGUACUGCAAACAAUAAAAUAACUGAGAAAGUUGCUGACAUUUUAAUUGCAUCUUUAUGUAUCCUGGUGGGAAUCACUUUGAUAUUGUUAUCUA